ensembl:lncRNA
CUUUUGCCCAGAUGGCCUCAGCUCCUGCAGCUAUGGCAACACCACCACUAAAUGCUGGCUCUCUUACCAUGAGGCCUGAAUACAGGAUCCCGGUUUGUGGUGGAAGGAGGGAAGAACCUGGUACUGAAACGGCAAAAUCCACCUGUUACUCGUAUUUUAGACAAUCUCAUGGAGAGGAAGUCAAACUCUAAAACUGAUGACUACAGAUAUUUUAAGCCCAAAAUGCUGCAGGGCAAAGACGGCUCAGUUCCAAGGAAUCCAUGCCAAGAGGCAGUUGCUUGGGAGGAGGCAACUACAUUGAUGGCAACAUCUUGUUGACCAAUAACGGGGAGACAGGCAAACACAUUGUAUACAGCUGCGGGGAACUUCUUAAUGUGCCACAGCUCAUAAAACAGUUGUCACAACUUGGAGAAAAAGGAGAGGCUGCAGUCUGAUCAGCCGGGAGAGCCCCCGACACGGCUGUCCACGGUCCCUGGACCUGGAUCCCUGCCCCUGCAGUUCUAAGUCACAGGUCCUGUCAUUUAGUGCAGCCCGACCCCGUGCACCUGCCGCCCUCUGCGUUAGGCUCCUGAUCCCCUCCUGGCAGGUCACUCUUUGAUUCCUAUUCAGCUUUCAUGAGUCCCUCUAACCGUGCUGGUGACAAGUACAGAUUAAUUUCUCGGCCUGACUUGGAUGGUUUUCAUCUUCGAUUCCUCUGUAUCCCCAGGGCAGCUCCAGGCAUGUUGGUGUCUUAAUUCAUCAUCUGUGAUUUUACAAAGCGAUCGCCCAGCGUGGGGACACUUCCACGUCACACAUCUCACUGCACAGGCCACACCCAGGCCAGGCAGGACCAGAGUUCAGAGCUGCUUUCUAGGGGCCAUCGUCACGGACACCAAGGGGCAGGCCCAUGUCUCCUCACAGACGUGCAGUCGGUCUGUCUGCAGUCAAAUGGAAGUGGCUGCACUCACUGUGGGCACAGGGGCCUGUAGGUGCACAUCUUCUGUGUUGACUGUUGCUCAUUCCCUCUGCUUCCAAAACCAAAAGGCCGAUUUUGCUUUGGGAAACCACAUCUUCCCCCCUUUAGUUCUCACAAACCUCAGGAAUUGGUUCCUCCGUGACCCAGGCAUUUUACAAAGGGCUGAGCCAGUCAGAUCUUCAUACUCCCCUGGAGAAAGGCAGAGGGAGUGACUUGCAGGGUGAGAGCAUUUCCAAAGUCAGAGCAACUGCAGCCAGCGAAACACAGCCCUGAGUCACUGUGCUGGGCCAUCUGGGGGCAGAUAAAAUACACUCAGUGUAUGUGACUUCCCCAAAUUCAGAUAACCCCCACGUGACCUGGGUUGGGGAAGCCCGUCCCUCCCAGGCUGACUCUCCUCUCAGCUAGAAGCCGGGCGCAGGUGUGCUCCUGAACAUCCAUUUCCAGGCUCAGAGCGCUGGCCACCUGGCUGGGGGCCCCUUCUCACCUGGGCUGAGUGCUCUCAGCUGUUCCUGAGCAUCUCUCUGGCUCGGCAGCCUGAGGCCUCAGAAAAUGUCCCCAGAGAGGAUGGAUGGAACUUUCCACGGAGUGCUGAGUUAAACCCACCCUGGUGCAGACUUCCUUGUGUUCACAGGGGCUGCCGACUCUCUGGGAGAGACCAGGGGAAAGAGCGCGAGUGGACGGAGCCUGUGUAAGGGACUAACUUGGGAACUAAUUCAUCCUGUGAGCACACUCCGUCUCGCCUGCUCAUCCUGCAUCCUGCUCUUCUCCCAUCUCUCUCACACCAGCCUCCCCUCUGGUCUCCUUGGGUCUGAUGAUUCUCCGCCCACACGGUCAGGAACGCAGGCACGUAUCAACCUCCAGGUGAUGUUCCCUGUUAUCCCUCAGCACUGAUGAGGGAGGAAUGACUUCGUCCGUUCGUUAUUCAAGUGCUGUAAAAGUUUGACCCCGCACUGAAAGAGCAGCAACAAGACACCAGCAGCAAAGACGGUCACGUGGAAGGCCCAUCACGGGUCCAUGUUCUCUGUGCACAUCCACCUCAGCCUCCCUGGAUUCGCCUUUUAAACAACUGUGGACUCCCCUGGGAGGGAUCAUCACGUCGUGGAGAGCUGUGCAGGGCCUGGAGUCAGACAGCCGGGGUGGAGCCCCGUCCACACCCUCACAUCUGUGUGGCCUUAUAAAGUCACUUCAUCUCUCUUAGCUUCAAUCUCCUCAUCUCUGAACUUGGAAGCAUGAAAGCACACACCACCCAGAGCAGAUCAGAUGAGUCAGUAGACGUACGGAGUCAGCACUGAGCCUGGAAGGCUCCACUGGUAUCCAGAGGACCUUGUCAACUUCCUGCAAGCCCCCAGGUCAUGCAGAGACCUGGAAGUGCCCCAACACAGUGGAUGGGCAUCUUGAGAGGGCAGCCGGUCCCAGAGAGGAAGGCCAUUCUCCAGAGAAAGACCACUGAGGCAGGAGGAUGGGGGAUGCACCAGAAGAUGGUAGAAGACAGCUUCUGGAGAAGACCGUGGGGUCUGGGUCUGACGGAGGCCAACUUCUCAAUUGCCUUCCCCCGCCUUGAGGAGGGGUCCAAACUCUUCACCAUGACCUGUGAAGCUGAACCUGACCUGGCCCCACCGCCCUCUCCAAGCUGACCUCAUGGGGACGUGCCAUCACUCACACCCUUCAGUCCAGCUGCACUCAGAUCCUUCAGUUUGUCAAAUGCUCCCAACUUUGUCCCAUCUUAUGGAACUUUGCAUUUGCUCUUCCCUCUGCCUAGAAUGUUCUUCCUGAGACAUAUGUAUGGCUGGCUCCUUCUCUCCUUCCAUUCUCAGCAGAAAAGUCACUUUGCAGAGAACGCCUCCAACUCUGUGGAAGUGGCCUCCCUGUGAAUCUCCUCUCAUCGCUGAGUUACUUCUGUUGUAGCAAACAUCACUGUCUACAGUCGUCCUGCUCUGCUACUCAUUUUAUUGUGUGUUGUCUGUUUCCUAAGAGGGCAGGGAGCACGUCAGCCUUGACCCCCAGUGACCAGCAGUGUCAGGAACGUGGGACGUGACUGAUUCAACUCUCCGGAGUGAAGGAAGGAACAGUGAAUCAGAAAACCUUUGAGUCUGGGGAAGGAGCCCUGCUGGGUUUCCUCCUCCCGUCCG